ACCUAAACCAACUGAUUUCCUCAGGGAGACCAACAUCUCAUUCAAACCACGGCAGCCUGCAAAAGCUAGGCUUCGUUCUUGUGUGUGUGUCCAGGAUCUUUCGUGGGCCCAAAGAGGUGGAGAGGGUCUUUACUGCCUUACCGCUGGUAUUUGCCACAGAAGCAGAAGCGAAGACCUCACAUCAUGAUCCUGGCUUCUGCUACAUGUAAAGGCUAUGCUGUGGUGCUGUGAUAUGAGUUAUAUGUGCCAUAGCAUGCAGAGAAAGAAUAUUUGAUUAAGGACCAAGACAUCUUACAGAAGAAAGGGUUUACAGUUCCAGAGUGAUGAGCAUUCAUGGUGACAGAGUUGAAGCAUAAAGCAUGACAGCAGGUGACAGGCAAAACUAUACAAGGAGGAAACUGAGAGCUCACACUUGACAAAGCAGAGAAUGGGAAUUGGAGUGUAAACUGAAGACCAGAAGCUGACCUUUGGAGACAUCUAGUCCAGCAGAGCAGCUGCUACAUUCUCAGUAUCUUCAACGUGAGACAACCAUGUCGGAAAAGCCAACCCAUAUCACUUUCAGGUUCUGAUGUCACCGUCUGGCCUAAGGACCCUGCAUGCACUGGUGCUACUGCGUAUGAACUCACAUAAGCGCACGCAAACACAUAAAAACAACAAGAUAAAGUUUCACAGCGAAACAUUCGCACCACAGCAUGGACGCUUCUCUCUGUACUUGGACAUAACUUCAGUGGAAUUUCAGAGAAUGCAGACAAAAAGAGGCAAUAGGCACCCGUAUUGAAGUUCUGACAAUAAAAGAAGUUGGCCAUCUCAUUUCCAUCUUGCAUGCCAAAUCUUUCAUACUCUCCUGGAAGAUGACCCCAACACAUCAAGGACAAGAGAAUGAAGAUACAGAACAUUCCACUGCAAUCAUGUCCGAGCCUGAUCACAGCAUCCAUUCAGGUACCAUCCUUGUCCCCCCUUCACAUGGUGAAACUGGUAGCGGAGAGAAGCUGCAUUCAAGACAAACUCACACAUGCAGUGCACCCCAAGAAGAGGGCCAGGGCUCCAGGAAAGAUAGAUGUGUCGCUCUGCCAUCAUACCUACCAUACCUACCAUGAGCAAUUGGAUGCCAGGCACUCACAUUUCCAAACCUAAGCAAGCAGCAGAGAUGGC
rnacentral:lncRNA from 1 species